rnacentral:rRNA from 1 species
UUAAGCGACUAAGCGUACACGGUGGAUGCCCUGGCAGUCAGAGGCGAUGAAGGACGUGCUAAUCUGCGAUAAGCGUCGGUGAGGUGAUAUGAACCGUUAUAACCGGCGAUUUCCGAAUGGGGAAACCCAGUGUGUUUCGACACACUAUCAUUAACUGAAUCCAUAGGUUAAUGAGGCGAACCGGGGGAACUGAAACAUCUAAGUACCCCGAGGAAAAGAAAUCAACCGAGAUUCCCCCAGUAGCGGCGAGCGAACGGGGAGGAGCCCAGAGCCUGAAUCAGUGUGUGUGUUAGUGGAAGCGUCUGGAAAGGCGCGCGAUACAGGGUGACAGCCCCGUACACAAAAAUGCACAUACUGUGAGCUCGAUGAGUAGGGCGGGACACGUGGUAUCCUGUCUGAAUAUGGGGGGACCAUCCUCCAAGGCUAAAUACUCCUGACUGACCGAUAGUGAACCAGUACCGUGAGGGAAAGGCGAAAAGAACCCCGGCGAGGGGAGUGAAAAAGAACCUGAAACCGUGUACGUACAAGCAGUGGGAGCCUCUUAAUGGGGUGACUGCGUACCUUUUGUAUAAUGGGUCAGCGACUUAUAUUCUGUAGCAAGGUUAACCGAAUAGGGGAGCCGAAGGGAAACCGAGUCUUAACUGGGCGUUAAGUUGCAGGGUAUAGACCCGAAACCCGGUGAUCUAGCCAUGGGCAGGUUGAAGGUUGGGUAACACUAACUGGAGGACCGAACCGACUAAUGUUGAAAAAUUAGCGGAUGACUUGUGGCUGGGGGUGAAAGGCCAAUCAAACCGGGAGAUAGCUGGUUCUCCCCGAAAGCUAUUUAGGUAGCGCCUCGUGAAUUCAUCUCCGGGGGUAGAGCACUGUUUCGGCAAGGGGGUCAUCCCGACUUACCAACCCGAUGCAAACUGCGAAUACCGGAGAAUGUUAUCACGGGAGACACACGGCGGGUGCUAACGUCCGUCGUGAAGAGGGAAACAACCCAGACCGCCAGCUAAGGUCCCAAAGUCAUGGUUAAGUGGGAAACGAUGUGGGAAGGCCCAGACAGCCAGGAUGUUGGCUUAGAAGCAGCCAUCAUUUAAAGAAAGCGUAAUAGCUCACUGGUCGAGUCGGCCUGCGCGGAAGAUGUAACGGGGCUAAACCAUGCACCGAAGCUGCGGCAGCGACACUAUGUGUUGUUGGGUAGGGGAGCGUUCUGUAAGCCUGUGAAGGUGUACUGUGAGGUAUGCUGGAGGUAUCAGAAGUGCGAAUGCUGACAUAAGUAACGAUAAAGCGGGUGAAAAGCCCGCUCGCCGGAAGACCAAGGGUUCCUGUCCAACGUUAAUCGGGGCAGGGUGAGUCGACCCCUAAGGCGAGGCCGAAAGGCGUAGUCGAUGGGAAACAGGUUAAUAUUCCUGUACUUGGUGUUACUGCGAAGGGGGGACGGAGAAGGCUAUGUUGGCCGGGCGACGGUUGUCCCGGUUUAAGCGUGUAGGCUGGUUUUCCAGGCAAAUCCGGAAAAUCAAGGCUGAGGCGUGAUGACGAGGCACUACGGUGCUGAAGCGACAAAUGCCCUGCUUCCAGGAAAAGCCUCUAAGCAUCAGGUAACAUCAAAUCGUACCCCAAACCGACACAGGUGGUCAGGUAGAGAAUACCAAGGCGCUUGAGAGAACUCGGGUGAAGGAACUAGGCAAAAUGGUGCCGUAACUUCGGGAGAAGGCACGCUGAUAUGUAGGUGAAGCGACUUGCUCGUGGAGCUGAAAUCAGUCGAAGAUACCAGCUGGCUGCAACUGUUUAUUAAAAACACAGCACUGUGCAAACACGAAAGUGGACGUAUACGGUGUGACGCCUGCCCGGUGCCGGAAGGUUAAUUGAUGGGGUUAGCGGUAACGCGAAGCUCUUGAUCGAAGCCCCGGUAAACGGCGGCCGUAACUAUAACGGUCCUAAGGUAGCGAAAUUCCUUGUCGGGUAAGUUCCGACCUGCACGAAUGGCGUAAUGAUGGCCAGGCUGUCUCCACCCGAGACUCAGUGAAAUUGAACUCGCUGUGAAGAUGCAGUGUACCCGCGGCAAGACGGAAAGACCCCGUGAACCUUUACUAUAGCUUGACACUGAACAUUGAGCCUUGAUGUGUAGGAUAGGUGGGAGGCUUUGAAGUGUGGACGCCAGUCUGCAUGGAGCCGACCUUGAAAUACCACCCUUUAAUGUUUGAUGUUCUAACGUGGGCCCCUUACCGGGGUUGCGGACAGUGUCUGGUGGGUAGUUUGACUGGGGCGGUCUCCUCCUAAAGAGUAACGGAGGAGCACGAAGGUUGGCUAAUCCUGGUCGGACAUCAGGAGGUUAGUGCAAUGGCAUAAGCCAGCUUGACUGCGAGCGUGACGGCGCGAGCAGGUGCGAAAGCAGGUCAUAGUGAUCCGGUGGUUCUGAAUGGAAGGGCCAUCGCUCAACGGAUAAAAGGUACUCCGGGGAUAACAGGCUGAUACCGCCCAAGAGUUCAUAUCGACGGCGGUGUUUGGCACCUCGAUGUCGGCUCAUCACAUCCUGGGGCUGAAGUAGGUCCCAAGGGUAUGGCUGUUCGCCAUUUAAAGUGGUACGCGAGCUGGGUUUAGAACGUCGUGAGACAGUUCGGUCCCUAUCUGCCGUGGGCGCUGGAGAACUGAGGGGGGCUGCUCCUAGUACGAGAGGACCGGAGUGGACGCAUCACUGGUGUUCGGGUUGUCAUGCCAAUGGCACUGCCCGGUAGCUAAAUGCGGAAGAGAUAAGUGCUGAAAGCAUCUAAGCACGAAACUUGCCCCGAGAUGAGUUCUCCCUGACUCCUUGAGAGUCCUGAAGGAACGUUGAAGACGACGACGUUGAUAG